GGGGAAUAUUGGGCAAUGGGCGCAAGCCUGACCCAGCAACGCCGCGUGAAGGAAGAAGGCUUUCGGGUUGUAAACUUCUUUUGUCAGGGAAGAGUAGAAGACUGUACCUGGCGAAUAAGCCACGGCUAACUACGUGCCAGCAGCCGCGGUAAUACGUAGGUGGCAAGCGUUGUCCGGAUUUACUGGGUGUAAAGGGCGUGUAGCCGGGAAGGCAAGUCAGAUGUGAAAUCUGGAGGCUCAACCUCCAAACUGCAUUUGAAACUGGUUUUCUUGAGUAUCGGAGAGGCAAUCGGAAUUCCUAGUGUAGCGGUGAAAUGCAUAGAUAUUAGGAGGAACACCAGUGGCGAAGGCGGCCCCCUGGACGAAGACUGACGCUCAGGUGCGAAAGCGUGGGGAUCAAAC
rnacentral:rRNA from 1 species